rnacentral:rRNA from 1 species
UACGGGGGGGGCAAGCGUUGUUCGGAAUUACUGGGCGUAAAGGGCUCGUAGGUGGCCAACUAAGUCAGACGUGAAAUCCCCAGGCUCAACUUGGGAACUGCGUCUGAUACUGGAUGGCUUGAAUUCGGGAGAGGGAUGCAGAAUUCCAGGUGUAGCGGUGAAAUGCGUAGAUAUCUGGAGGAAUACCGGUGGCGAAGGCGGCUCCCUGGACCGGCACUGACGCUGAGGCGCGAAAGCUAGGGGAGCAAACGGG